rnacentral:rRNA from 1 species
UACGGGGGGGGCAAGCGUUGUUCGGAAUUACUGGGCGUAAAGGGUUCGUAGGUGGCUUGCUAAGUCAGACGUGAAAUCCCUCAGCUUAACUGGGGAACUGCGUCUGAUACUGGCGAGCUUGAGUGCAGGAGAGGAACGCGGAAUUCCAGGUGUAGCGGUGAAAUGCGUAGAUAUCUGGAGGAACACCGGUGGCGAAGGCGGCAUCCUGGACCGACAUUGACGCUGAGGAGCGAAAGCCAGGGGAGCAAACGGG